rnacentral:lncRNA from 1 species
AAGAGAAACUCCGUUCUUGGCCAGUUGUGCUCCGUACUGUGCAGACACACAGGCAGCGCCUGGAAGUCACCGAGAAAUGCAAUGCCUUUGAGAAGUUCCGUGGAAAGAAUGACAUCAUGACCAGUCACUCCCCCACCCCACCUUUUUUCCAGUGGGAGUGAGAAAUAAAUAGACUGACACAUUUUCCAGUCAGGGAGCCAUUCUGGACAGCAAGUUUACCUUGGCACAGGAGCUCAGGUGGGGCUGUGAGAAACCUUAUCUGUGCUUGCCUGGUAAACAAGGAGCCUGCAAUCUCCCCGGAGUCUUGGCCACUGAGCAGGUGACUGCGGGAGGCAGGUGAGCAGAGCAGGACACGCAGUUGGAGAAAGUUCUUGAUACCAGGAGGAGUUGCUUUGAUGUGUCAGCUUGGAAAGAAUGCCUCGUAAGGGCCAUUCAGGACUCCAGGAGAGCAACAAAAACAAAAAAGCCCCAGCUCGUGGAAACAUCAAAGUGAAGGCAAAUAUAACCAGACUGACCCACCUGGAGGUAUUUAAAUACCUUGAAGAAUGGUGGUGUGUCCUUGCAAAACCCAGGCAGCUUUCAGGUAGAAACUUGAGUCAUGUCUGGAUCAUAAGGAGUGAGGUGGCCCCACUGGCUGUCCCUGGCCACUCAUUAUAAUCAGGAAAAAGUGAGGACAAUGUGAGACUCUCCCUUGGAGAGUCUGAAAACUUGGAAGACCUGAAUUUUGGUGACCACUCAACAAGUCAGUCUGCUCCAGGGACCCAUUAACAUUGCAACCUCAUUCCUAGUGGUGCCAAGAUGCAGCCAUGAUUUGUACUGCAGUGUGGGGAGGCCAGAUUUGGGCCCUCCUGGAAGUCCACAGCAAUUCCGUCCCUGGAAAGUUGUUGCACAGAGGAAAAUACAGCGCCACGUCCCAAGACAAACUGAAGGCCUCCAAAGAAGACAUAAGUAAUUUUGUUCUUUAUAUUUUACAUCUUUACAGAAAGUAUCCGAGUUUACAAAAACCACAUAAAAUAGAACAAAGUUUAAAAAAUAGAAUAUAGAGGGAAAGGAAAAAUAAUAGAUAACAGAGGACAAAGCCCAGUGUGGCUGCUACCUUAUUGCUGUAAGGUCCUGUACACUUUCAAAUCAAACUCUGACUUCCCAACCCACAAAGCAAAAGUUAAAGAAAUGCACGUACAGCACUGCACCCAUGAUAAGAAAAACCAGGCAGCUGCUGCAGAGAAGCACAUCUAUUCCUGAUGCUGAGGCUCCCCAUGGGGCCUCAUGAGAAAGAAUUGGAAGACACAGUGGAAGGCCACCAAGAGCAUCCCCAACAACAGCCCUACCAUACACCAUAGGGAGUUUUCUGGGAUGGAGUUUCCUGGGAUGGUUCCUAUGACAUCCCAGUGCAGGCUACUGGCCAUGCCAAUGCCUGGUCCAGUGAGAACAAUUAUGGGAGACUCCAGAAUGACCUCUGCUGAGCUGGCUUACACCUAGGACAAAAAUCAGAGCAAAGAAACUGCUUUGGGAAUCCGAGGGGCCCUGCCUCUCUGGGAAUCUGAAUUCGGGCUUCUCCCCAGGUCUUGUGCCAGCUUUGCUCUUUGCUUUGGGAGGGGAGUCCCUAGGGUUUCCAGCAAAGCUGCCGUCAUUGAAGACAGAGGCACAGCACAUAGCCCAUGCACAGGCCAGGCCCAUGGUCUUCCCACUGAGACCUCUAGCCACAGAAUAGUCUCCAGUCGAGCAGAGGCUGAGGAGAAAGAGGGACUAAGUGCUGGUCCUGGGUUCACCAGUCACUGACAGUGGGAACCUCAGAAAGCCAACUCCUCUCUGUGGGCCUUAGUUCUGUCGCCUGCGAAGUGGAGCAGACGAGCUAGCAUCGGAUCUGUCCUUUUCCUGAGGAUUCUCAUGGCUGCAGAGCUCUUCAGUGCAUGGCAAGCUGAAGAGAGGCAAUGAAGCAGGGCUGGAAGCGUUGGGGUCUGUGGAAGACAUGAAAUGUACCACCCAGAUCCGCCUUCUACGGAGGGCCUUCUGCCCAGCUGCGGGUAUGGAACCAGCAGCCUGCCUCCAGCUGUUUGUUCCUUCAAAGUCUGCCACAGCUGCAGAAAGCUGCCUCCCCCAAGAUCAUGCCCUCCCAAGAUAGCCCAUGCUGUGGAUUGGGUGCAGCAGGGGAAUAAAGGCCCAGGCACUUUGUCCCUGUGCAGAUCACUCUGAACAGGUAAUAUUAGCUCCAAAGCUCCUCACAGAAUUGGCCAACAUUUGUUGAGCCUGCAUUUCAGUUAGACUUCUUUUUCUACCCAAGCCCGCUUCUUCCUUCUUCUUUGCACAGGUGUUGCUCCCAAAACCUGUCUUGGCAUCUGCUUCUGAAGAACCUAAUCUGCAGCAGAGGCCAAGCACCCAAGCACAAAGACUUGCCUGGCCUAUGACCUUUGGAACAAACACCUGAGCCACCGUGGACCCAAGAGCUAGAGAAACAACCAGCGUGGAUGGUCUGACAGCACCGCUGGCCACAGCUGCUACUCAGUGGCCGUUCAUCACAUGGAAAAGGGACAUGACCCUCUUCUCCCCAAACAGCCCCCUCUUGACUCUGUUCUUCCAGCGGAUGAUGCCAGUUUUCCAGCCACCCAAGCUCAAGAUCUCCAAGCCUCUCCCAAGUUCCUUUCCCUUCUGCUCCUAUAUCCGAACAGUUACUAAGUUUUGAAGCUCCAUCUUUGCAUACACCACCUCCCUCAUGGGCUACUGCAGCAACCCCAUGAGGACCCCUCCCUCCUUACUAUAAGAUGCUCACCCCUGGUGCAGGUCCUGUCACUGUGAUUCCUGCUCGCGCUCCCCACCAUAUGGGUCACUGCUCUGUGGAAGGAAGGAAUGACAUAUUGGAGUCACACCUGUUUCCCCGAAGUCAUUGGGAAGUGUUCGUUGCUGCUUGUUAGAAAUACCCAAACACAAACAAAAGGUGGUAAAACAAUGUGAAUUCGAUGAGAAGUUUCUGCUUCUGUUUGGAUUGAGGUCAGUGUUAUUUCCCUAGCGUAGACCCAGAAAACAGAGCACUUGUUCAACUGAGGAGAUGCCCCUGGCAUGUAAGUGAAUGUGCUUGUGUGGACAUGUGGAGGUCUCAAGAACAAAAGAAGAGCUGGGCAACUUGCUGGCACUUGAUACCCAGGUGUUUCUUAAUGUUCCUGUUGAAGAAAUAGCUGUAAAAUGCUGAAGGAAAUGCCCGCUUCCCUGUGUACAGAAGGCAGGCUGCGAAGGUGGGGCACCAUACAUUCUAGUCCAAAGAGGACUAGUAUGACCUCCCCAUUAGGCCACACGAAUCCCACAGCUGUGUGCGUGUAGCCAAGAUGUCAGCAAGGUGAGACCCCACACAAAUACUCCAAAAUGUGCUGGAAAGAGGGAGGGAUGGAAUAUCAACCAUUCUAUUUGGCAUCAUUCUCUGCUAAGAGAACAGGCUUGGCCUCUCUUUUUCAGAAACCAAGAAAGGGCUUUGCUGCCUUUGCUAUGUUUUCCU